AUUGAACGCUGGCGGCAGGCCUAACACAUGCAAGUCGAGCGGAAGAUUGGAGCUUGCUCCUGGACUCAGCGGCGGACGGGUGAGUCAUGCCUUUGAAUCUGCCUGGUCUUCGGGGAUAACGUCCGGAAACGGGCUCUAAUACCGCAUACGUCCUGAGGUCGCCUGUGGGUGAGCUUCGGACCUCACGCUUUCAGAUGAGCCUAGGUCGGAUUAGCUAGUUGGUGGGGUAGAUGCCUACCAAGGCGACGAUGCGUAACUGGUCUGAGAGGAAGAUCAGUCACACUGGAACUGAGACACAGCCCAGACACCGAGGCGAGGCCGCAGUGGGGAAUAUUAGACGAUGGGCCAAAGCCUGAUCCAGGCAAGUCGCGUAUGUGAAGAUGGUCUUCGGAUUGGAAAGCACUGUAAGUUGGGGGGAUGGGCAGUAAGUUAACACCUUGCUAUUUUGACGUUACCGACAGAAUAAGCACCGGCUAACUUCGUG
rnacentral:rRNA from 1 species